rnacentral:rRNA from 1 species
UACGUAGGGUGCGAGCGUUGUCCGGAAUUAUUGGGCGUAAAGAGCUCGUAGGCGGUGUGUCGCGUCGGUCGUGAAAACUUGGGGCUUAACCCUGAGCUUGCGGUCGAUACGGGCAUCACUGGAGUUCGGCAGGGGAGACUGGAAUUCCUGGUGUAGCGGUGAAAUGCGCAGAUAUCAGGAGGAACACCGGUGGCGAAGGCGGGCUACUGGGCCGAUACUGACGCUGAUGCGCGAAAGCCAGGGGAGCAAACGGG